rnacentral:rRNA from 1 species
UACGGAGGGAGCUAGCGUUGUUCGGAAUUACUGGGCGUAAAGCGCACGUAGGCGGCUACUCAAGUCAGAGGUGAAAGCCCGGGGCUCAACCCCGGAACUGCCUUUGAAACUAGGUAGCUAGAAUCCUGGAGAGGUCAGUGGAAUUCCGAGUGUAGAGGUGAAAUUCGUAGAUAUUCGGAAGAACACCAGUGGCGAAGGCGACUCACUGGACACGUAUUGACGCUGAGGUGCGAAAGCGUGGGGAGCAAACAGG